AAGCUUAUGGUGUAAUGGAAAGCAUACAAGGCUACGAACCUUGGGGUAUGGGUUCAAGUCCUAUUAAGCUUA
rnacentral:tRNA from 1 species